rnacentral:misc_RNA from 1 species
GGUCGUUACUACUUGUAAUAUUCAUGAAAAAGGAAAUAAAUAGUGAACUGAAAACAGGAACAAACCAAUAGCUUGGAAAUUCACAUAGCUGGAUGAAACUAAGGUUUUGGAUGCUGAUAAUUCAGGCAUCAAACUUGCUGAUUAAGACAAGACUACUAAUAUCACUUAUAAGCAAUUUUUUGAACACCAAACUGUCAUUGAACUUAGAUAGUCAGAUAGACAGGAGUUAAAGGUAAAAAUUUCAACAAGUAACCACCAAUCAAGUCUUGCUAACUACAAUGCAAUUUCAAAACUUUCAAGCAUUGAAAUAGGAAUAGGAAAGGUCAAAAGUGUAAAAAUGGU